rnacentral:rRNA from 1 species
CCCUACUGCUAUCGGGGUGGGACUAAGACAUGCGAGUUGUGCGUCUCUAAGCUAUGGUAGAGACGCAGCGUACGGCUCAGUAACACGUGGCUAACCUACCCUUAGGACGGGGACAACCCCGGGAAACUGGGGCUAAUACCCGAUAGGUGAGGAGGCCUGGAAUGGUUCCUAGUCGAAAAGGCGUUGAAACCAUGCUUUUCGACGUCGCCUAAGGAUGGGGCCGCGCCCGAUCAGGUUGUUGGUGGGGUAACGGCUCACCAAGCCUAUAACCGGUACGGGCCGUGAGAGCGGGAGCCCGGAGAUGGGCACUGAGACAAGGGCCCAGGCCCUACGGGGCGCAGCAGUCGCGAAAACUCCGCAAUGCGCGAAAGCGCGACGGGGCUACCCCGAGUGCCGUCCGCUGAGGAUGGCUUUUCCCCGGUGUAAUGAGCCGGGGGAAUAAGGAGAGGGCAAGUCUGGUGUCAGCCGCCGCGGUAAUACCAGCUCUCCGAGUGGUAGGGAUGAUUAUUGGGCUUAAAGCGUCCGUAGCCGGCUUAGCAAGUCUCCUGUUAAAUUCAGCGACCUAAUCGUUGAGCCGCGGGAGAUACUACUAGGCUAGGAGGCGGGAGAGGCCGACGGUAUUCUCGGGGUAGGGGUGAAAUCCUAUAAUCCCGGGAGGACCACCAGUGGCGAAGGCUGUCGGCUAGCACGCGCUCGACGGUGAGGGACGAAAGCUGGGGGAGCAAACCGGAUUAGAUACCCGGGUAGUCCCAGCUGUAAACGAUGCGGGCUAGGUGUUGGGGUGGCUACGAGCCACUCCAGUGCCGCAGGGAAGCCAUUAAGCCCGCCGCCUGGGGAGUACGGUCGCAAGGCUGAAACUUAAAGGAAUUGGCGGGGGAGCACCACAAGGCGUGAAGCUUGCGGUUC